ACCACACACACACACACCACACACACACCACACACACACACCACACACACUCUCUCUCUCACACACACACACACCACACACACCACACACACCACACACACACCACACACACACACACCACACACACACACACACACACACACACACACAUUACAUGAAUAGAAUUUUAAACAUUAAUGGAACCAGGUUCAUUGUGUUCAGUGAGAAAAAUGCAUGCCCCAAAUACUAACAUAUUUACCCCGUCUAUAAGUUCCUCUUUAGAAACUUCUCUGAGUUUAUUUUGGCAUCUAAGAAAUCUUUGCUAGGAUCUUUAAAAUUCUGGCAUUGAGACCAGUGUACAAAGGAGGUAAGUUUUCCCAACAGAUUCCUGAGGUCAUGCUUAAGUUUACUUGGCUCCCAAUACUUGUUGAGAGACAACCUGAAUGGCAGUGAAUGUGGCUGUGUACCCUGCUCCAGUGCCUGGCAGAUAGUUCCUUCUCAACAAAUUCGAGUACCUCUCUGUGUGGAGCAUCGACCCUGAGCCAGGCCAUGCUCACAAGAAAAUUAACGGAGUUCUUAAGAAAUAACAAGGCUUUGGAAAGUUAGCGUAAGUUGAGACACUAAACGCACGGUCUAUCCUUCCUGAUUCAUGGGAGGUGUUGCUGGCUGAUCACCUGAUCGCCAGCCUUUGCCUCAGAGCCUGACCUUAGCUCUAGAAUCCUCUCAGUAAAAGAUGACAAUCAUUCGCUACCUUCCAGGCGGGGAUAAAGAGGCUGGGACUGGAGAAAGUCUUUCUUACUUUGUUUUAAGGGGAGGUUGCAUAGUUUUCGGGUGUCAUCAAAUUCCUCCCACCCAGAGCCUGUCAUUUCACAGGUCCAUCCCAUCCAGCUGCUCUGAGGCAAAGAAGAAUGAGGAAGUGUUUGGGGAUUAAACAGAACAAGGAAGUCCCUGGAGGGCAGCGAGAGGGAGCCUGUCACCUUUGCUGGCAAGAGAGUUUCAUUAGGGCAUAUUUUAGGAUAGAGUAGAUCUGGGCUGGCUUUGGGGGUUUUGUUUAUUUGGUUGGUUUGGUUUUGUGAAGCGGACUCUUGCUUGUGGACCAUGCUGGCCUCACUAUUGUACACUUGCCUCUGCCUCCGACCAGAAUUGUGUCUCCAAAGGACUUUCCCAGAGCCAGUGAGGCGGCUCCACAGGUAAAGGUGCUUGCCGGGGAAGAAAAGAGAAGAGACAGCAGAGCGACAGAAGACAUGGCCUGGAGACACAGGUGCUAGGACCAUCAGGAGAGGAACAAUGGCCAUUUUGCACAAAGUAAAUGGAGCCCCUCGGCGGAGGCGCCUUUCCUUACACCUCCGAUGCGUGCCGCAGAGGAACAAGUGGGCUUCCGUGGCACACGGCAGAUGAGGGCUCGCAGAAAGAGCAUUCGGAAGGUUUCCCAGCACCGUGUAGCCUGUACCGAGGGUAGGGAGGGAUGAGAGGGGCCUCCGCCUUUCUUAGACAAGGAUCCCAGAGGCCAACAGUUCUAGAUUAUCCUGACUAGUUCUCUGCAAGUCCUGAGAGUUCUUGUGAGUGCUAGCUCCAUGUGACCUGACCCUUCUGUGAAGGCCUAUAGUGUUCACCCUGUCCCCGUCUCUGAGACACUUCUCAGUCACAGAAAUAUAAAUACCCUUAUUCAUUGGCUUGGUCCCUCACCAUCCCUGCUUGCCCUAGACUGGGCUCCAGGCACUGGCUCAGAGUCCUUCACUUCAUAAUCUUCUGCUUCGAGGACAUCCUCACUGACCUAAGCUCACUCGGUUUUCAUGUUGGGAUCCAAGGCCCAUGGCACCUCACCCCGCAUUUACCCAGGAACAAUGGCCCAGUAUUGGGUAACUGGGUUCUGGCAAUGACUUUGCAACUUCUUUGAGUAAGAAUUAACUGUCAGCCCAGCCAGUCUUCUAUUGGGUACACAUGUCCCAGGACAUCUGUAGAGACAAGCCCAUACACAUUGAAGAACGUACUCAAAACACUGUGAGUGGUUUUGCAAUUUUUUUUUCUUUUUCUAUUUUUUUCAGAGCUGGGGACGUGGUUUUGCAAUUUUAAAGAGCAUUUAUUUCUAAAGGGACGGUGCGUAUGUGUUUCCUAGCACCGUGUAGCCUGUAUGGAGGGUAGGGGGGGAUGAGAGGGGCCUCCACCUUUCUAAAAGAAUGAGCCCAGAGGCCAACAGGUGCACAUGGGGAUCAGAGGGGGACUUGCAGGAGUCAUUUCUCUCCUUCCAACACAUAGGGGUUUGUAGAUCAAACCAAGGUUGUCAGACUGGGCAUGGCCUUCUCUUCCUAGCCAUGCAGCCUGCCCCUGUGUGACUUUUAAAAAAUAAUUCAGUUUCAUAGUUCCUUAGUGUCAGAGAUGACAGCAUCAUGUCACGAUGUCAAAAGGUUGGGCACACCUGAGCUGACACAUGCUUGCUUAGCCUAGGCCCCCUCUUACUAGCACAGCUUCUUGGAAGCACAGCUACUGCCUUCAUCUGUUUGUCUAUCUGUCUGCCCGCCUGUCUAUCCCCUAUCUAGCUGUCAUGUCCUGCUUCAAUGCAAGCCCGAGGAGGCCUUGCCUAUGCUAGGUAGUGUUUUGUCUACACCUCCCCACCCCCACACUGCCCCGUUCCCAUCCUCGGUCCUUGUCUCUGUAUGCAGAGGGUGAGGAUAGAUUGAUUCCCAUGGUCGUUGGACUCCGUGGCUUCACUAUCAUCUCUGCCCACACCUUUGUAAACAGCGCCUUUCAGAGAUCCCUUCUAAGGGCACCAUCCUGGAAUCCCAGCUAAUGCUGGCAGGGUGUGGGGAGGUGAGCCCUUUUCUUUCUAGUGUAUAUGUAACAGACAUAAGCAUAGGCCAUUUCUUCCCACCGGUCUCCAGUGACACAUUACCUCCUCUCUCAGUGACACAGAAGCUCCCCUCCCAGCUAGCCGGCAGAAGGACAGUCCUAGCCCUGAGACAGUGCUCUGACCCACAGCAGAAUCCUUGGGGGCUCACUAGAAAUGCAAGCAGCUGGGUGCCCUACCUCUGCUGUCUCUGAACAAAGCCCUGAGAUCUGUUCACAUAAACCUUCCAGGUGAUUCUUACCUACCCUAAAAACUGAGGACCAUUUCCUGUACGAUUGGGCAUGCAGGAGAGGGUGAGGCCCCCAGCAGUUGCUCCGGACCCUUCCACGGCCUCCUUUAUCCCUACCUGGCCUUUGUUUCUCUAGGCUGAGCCACAGUUAGGGACACAUCAGAGGUUGAGUGCCGGAUCCUUUGCCCUGACUGAGUGUGGCUGCUGCUCUGUCCGCAGAGCAUAGUAGUGCCUAUAAGAAAGCACGGCUUGGCACUGAAUUGUCAGGUCUCUCUGAGUUCAGACACAGGAGGAGAACAACAUGAAGGGCAACAGACCACAUACCACUCUAAGACACGCUACUUUGGCCCACUGAUGAUUUUGAGACGGAAGCACUUGAGAAGAAAGCAGCCACUGGGAGCAUCCUCUGCCUUCCCUAGGAUCUCUCCCCUUCUCUCCCCCCUUCUCCCUCCCCCCUGCCUUCCCUGGGAGCACUCUGCCUGCUCCCCUCUCCUAAAGUAGGAUAUAAAUGUUCCUCUGUCUCUCGUGCCAUGAUAAAGAUCCAAGCCCCAGGACUGAAGGAGUGGCCUUACGAUCAAUUUGCAUGAACAAUGUAAAGUAACCCUUCCUUUCCUGCCCACACAUAUUCCCUGUCUACACUGGACCACCUCUGGAGGCCCAAACACCUUUUCCUUUGUGUAGUUUCUUCUCUGCAAUCCUUCUCCUUUUGUUGAAAUGUUUAUACUAACUUUCACGUCUCUGUGAAGCCCUGCGUGAAUAAAAGUAUUAUACUGAUAAAGCA